rnacentral:snRNA from 1 species
GUGCUUGCUUCGGCAGCAUAUAUACUAAAAUUGGAAUGAUACAGAGAAGAUUAGCAUGGCCCCUGCACAAGGAUGACAUGCAAAUUCAUGAAGCGUUCCAUAUUUUU